GGCAGUAGUAGCUCAGUAGUUAAACUGUUAGACUACAGAUUACAAGGUCAUGAGUUCAAAUCUCAGCACCGCCA